rnacentral:rRNA from 1 species
GACAGAGGUGCCAAGCGUUUAGGCGGAAUCACUGGGCUUAAAGCGUGUGUAGGCGGAUCGUUAAGUACCUUGUGAAAUCCCACGGCUCAACCGUGGAACUGCUGGGUAUACUGGCGAUCUUGAGCCACCUAGGGGCGAGCGGAACAAGCGGUGGAGCGGUGAAAUGCGUAGAUAUCGCUUGGAACGCCAAUGGUGAAAACAGCUCGCUGGGGGUGUGCUGACGCUGGAGACACGAAAGCCAGGGGAGCGAACGGG